rnacentral:rRNA from 1 species
AACGAACGCUGGCGGCAUGCCUAACACAUGCAAGUCGAACGAGACCUUCGGGUCUAGUGGCGCACGGGUGCGUAACGCGUGGGAAUCUGCCCUUUGCUUCGGAAUAACAGUUAGAAAUGACUGCUAAUACCGGAUGAUGUCUUCGGACCAAAGAUUUAUCGGCAAAGGAUGAGCCCGCGUAGGAUUAGGUAGUUGGUGGGUAAAGGCCUACCAAGCCGACGAUCCUUAGCUGGUCUGAGAGGAUGAUCAGCCACACUGGGACUGAGACACGGCCCAGACUCCUACGGAGGCAGCAGUGGGGAAUAUUGGACAAUAGGGCGAAAGCCUGAUCCAGCAAUGCCGCGUGAGUGAUGAAGGCC